rnacentral:rRNA from 1 species
GUGUCAGCCGCCGCGGUAAUACGGAAGGGGCAAGCGUUGUUCGGAAUCAUUGGGCGUAAAGGGCGCGUAGGUGGUUUUGUAUGUCUCCCGUGAAAGGCCACGGCUCAACUGUGGGGUGUCGGGAGAAACUGCAGGACUUGAGGCUGGGAGGGGCUGGUGGAAUUCCCUGUGUAGCGGUGAAAUGCGUAGAGAUGGGGGAGAACACUCGUGGCGAAGGCGGCCAGCUAGACCAGUUCUGACACUGAGGCGCGACAGCGUGGGGAGCAAACAGGAUUAGAUACCCGCGUAGUCC